rnacentral:pre_miRNA from 1 species
CUAACUCAAAUUUUUAUGUAGUUCGAUCGUUUGCCUACGUUUGCCAUUAGGGGCGCUGUUCAACUGCAUACAAGUUUGAGUUA